UGGGGAAUCUUGGACAAUGGGCGCAAGCCUGAUCCAGCCAUGCCGCGUGAGUGACGAAGGUCUUCGGAUUGUAAAGCUCUUUUGCCAGGGACGAUAAUGACGGUACCUGGAGAAUAAGCCCCGGCUAACUUCGUGCCAGCAGCCGCGGUAAUACGAAGGGGGCUAGCGUUGUUCGGAAUUACUGGGCGUAAAGCGCACGUAGGCGGAUUAGUAAGUCAGGGGUGAAAUCCCGGGGCUCAACCUCGGAACUGCCUUUGAUACUGCUAAUCUCGAGUCCGAUAGAGGUGAGUGGAAUUCCUAGUGUAGAGGUGAAAUUCGUAGAUAUUAGGAAGAACACCAGUGGCGAAGGCGGCUCACUGGAUCGGUACUGACGCUGAGGUGCGAAAGCAUGGGGAGCAAAAGGGAUUAGAUACCCCCGUAGUCCCUGAGCGGGCUGGCAAGGCGCAU
rnacentral:rRNA from 1 species